rnacentral:rRNA from 1 species
GACGAACGCUGGCGGCGUGCUUAACACAUGCAAGUCGAACGGAAAGGCCCUGCUUUUGUGGGGUGCUCGAGUGGCGAACGGGUGAGUAACACGUGAGUAACCUGCCCUUGACUUUGGGAUAACUUCAGGAAACUGGGGCUAAUACCGGAUAGGAGCUCCUGCUGCAUGGUGGGGGUUGGAAAGUUUCGGCGGGUGGGGAUGGACUCGCGGCUUAUCAGCUUGUUGGUGGGGUAGUGGCUUACCAAGGCUUUGACGGGUAGCCGGCCUGAGAGGGUGACCGGCCACAUUGGGACUGAGAUACGGCCCAGACUCCUACGGGAGGCAGCAGUGGGGAAUAUUGCACAAUGGGCGGAAGCCUGAUGCAGCAACGCCGCGUGCGGGAUGACGGCGUUCGUGUUGUAAACCGCUUUCGCCUGUGACGAAGCGUGAGUGACGGUAAUGGGUAAAGAAGCACCGGCUAACUACGUG